GCGCUCGGGUUACAGCCGCCGCUCCCUUGCUCCCCCGCCCGCGCCUCGCCGGUUCGCCCGCGCCGGGAGACAGUGUAACGGAACUUGGACGCCAGCGCUGCAUUGUGGGAGCUUUUAAAGCGGCGGGGAGCGUGGCGCAGCCUCUCGGGCUCUCGGUCCCCCGCCCCAUACCCCCCGGCACGGCCCCCACGCCGCCCGGCCGGUCGCACACCCCCAGCCAGCCGAGACCCUUGGACCUGAAAGCCAGAAAUGGUGAGAUGACCGGUGCCUCGCUGACUCUCACGAAGCAAAAUUUUCCAUAGCCUGGGGAUGAGACUUGCAAAACUGCCCUCCACCGUCACCCCGGAAAGUAGGAGGCUUUUCCUGCGGACUCUUUAAAAAAAAAAAAAAAAAAAAAAAAAAAAAAGAGGCCCUUCCAUCCCCUCAGGACUGGGUUUGAAUUGCUUUUCAUCUGGAGUGGCAAUGAUUCAGCGACCCCCUUCUCAGCAGCAGGCAGUGACAGAGACAGGAGACGAAAAACACAGCGAAUGAAUCAGACAGAACUCUGGAAAGCAAGCAGCUUCCUCUUCAUGUCCAAACCUGCCACAGGUCUAACAGCUCCUCUCUGAAGAGACCAACAAUAGCACUUUCAUGAGAAGAGCUGCGGUCGGAGCCCAGGAGGAGACAACGGAAGGCUGGGAUCAGGCGUCUGGGCUAGAGGCCUUUGCAAUCAGACUGGGAACUACACCACAGGCUUUCCUGGAUCUCCAGCUUGCUGACUGCUGAUCUUAGGACUUUUUGGCCCCCCUAAUCAUGUUUCCUUAUUCCCUGACAAACAACAGUAUUUAAAGUAGUGCAAUUAAUAACCCUACAAUGACCUCUAAAUAUUCAAGUGAAAGGAAGAGUUGCAGGUCUCUCACUUUAAAUCAAAAGAAAUGAUUAAGCUUAGUGAGCAAGGCUUGUUGAAAACUGUGAUAGGCUGAAAGCUAGGCCUCUUGCACCAAACACUUAGCCAACUUGUGAAUGCAAAGGAAAAGUUCUUGAAGGAAAUUAAAAGUGCUACUUCAAUGAACACACAAAUGAUAAGAAAGCAAAACAGCCUUAUUGCUGAUACAGAGAAAGUUGCAGUGGUCUGGAUAGAAGAUCAAGCCAGCCACAACAUUCCCUUAAACCAAAGCCUAAUCCAGAGCAACUGGAUUAACUUUCUUCAAUUCUAUGCAGGCUAGGAGAGGUGAGGAAGCUGCAGAAGAAAAAUUUGAAGCUAGCAGAGGUUGGUUCAUGAAGUUUAAGGAAAGAAGCCAGAUCCAUAACAUCAAAGUGCAAGGUGAAGCAGCAAGUGCUGAUGUAUAAACUGCAAGUUAUCCGAAAGAUCUAGCUCAGAUAAUUCAUAAAGGUGGCUACACGAAACAACAGAUUUUCAGUGUAGAUGAAGUAGCCUUCUAUUGGAAGAAGAUGUCAUCUAGGACUUUCAUAGCUAGAGGGGAAGUCAAUGCCUAGCUUCAAAGCUUCAGAGGACAGGCUGACCCUCUUGUUAGGGGCUAACGCAGCUGGUGACUUUAAGUUGAAGCCAAUGUUCACUUACUAUUCUGAAAAUCCUAGGGCCCUUCAGAAUUAUGCUACCUCCACUCUACCUGUCCUCUAUCAAUGGAACAACAAAGCCUAGAUGACAACACGUCUGUUGACUACAUGGUUUACUGAAUACUUUAAGCCCACUGUUGAGACCUCCUGCCUGGAAAAAAAGAUUACUUUCAAAAUGUUACUGCUCAUUGACAAUGCACCUGGUCACCCAAGAGCUCUGAUGGAGACAUACAGUGAGAUUCAUGUUAUUUUCCUACCUGCUAACACAACAUCUAUUCUGCAGCCCAUGGAUCUAGGAGUAAUUUUGGCUUUCCAAGUCUUACAAUUUAAGAAAUACAUUUCCUAAGGCUAUAGACACCAUAGAUAGUAAUUCCUCUGAUAAAUCUGGGCAAAGUAAAUUGAAAAUCUUCUGGAAAAGAUUCACCAUUAUGGAUGCCAUUAAGAACAUUUUUGAUUCAAAGGAAGAGGUCAAAACAUCAACACUAUCAGGAGUUUGGAAGAAGUUGAUUCCAACCAUCAUGGAUGACUUCCACAGUUCCAAGCCUUCAGUGGAGGAAGUAACUGCACACAUGGUAGAAAUACCAAGAGAACCAGAAUUAGAAGUGGGGCUUGAAGAUGUGACUGAAUUGCUGCAUGAUAAAACUUGAAUAGAUGAGGAGUUGCUUCUUAAUGGAUGAGCAAAGAAAGUGGUUUCUUGAGACGGAAACUACUCCUGGUGAAGAUGCUGUGAAGAUUGUUGAAAUGACAACAAAGGAUUUAGAAUAUUAAGUAAACUUAGUUGCUAAAGAUGUGACAGAGUUUGAGAGGAUUGACUCCAAUUUUGAAAGAAGUUCUAUGAGUAAAAUGCUAUCAAACAGCAUUGCAUGCUACAGAGAAAUGGUUCCUAAAAGGAAGAGUCAAUCUAUGCAGCAGACUUCAUUGUUGUCUUACAUGAAGAAAUGGCCAUGGCCACCCCAGCCUUUGGCAACCACAGCCCUGAUCAGUCAGCAGCCAUCAGCAUCCUGGCAAGAGCCUCCACCAGCAAAAACAUUACAACUCGCUGAAGGCUCAGAUGAUGGUUAGCAUUUUUUAGCAAUAAAGUAUUUUUUAAAUUAAGGUGUAUACACUUUUUUCUAGUUUAUGGCACACUUACUAGACUACAGUUAAUGUAAAUACAACUUUUAUAUGCACUGGGAAACCAAAAAAUUUGUGACUCUAUUGCAAUAUUCACUUUAUUGCAGUGGUCUGGAACCAAACCCAAAUAACUCCGAGGUAUGCCUAUAUUAAUAAUCUUACCAAGUAAGGGAUAUAUUAUUAUUAUUCCCUUCUAACUGAUGAGGUAACCAAAACUUAAAUAACUUAUCUUGGGUCACAUUGGUAGUAAGUGCCAGAGACAAUAUUUGAAACCAUUUCUUCCUGACAAUAAGCCCCAGAACAUUUUCAUUGCACCUAGCUUACUAUAUUGGCUAAUAAUUUUGUUAUUGCUGUUUGUUUUUGCAGCCAAGCUACUAGUUUAAAACACCUAACUUGUAAAGGAAAGGAAAUUAGGACAUAAACGUUACCUAUUCUUGGUAAAAUUACAUUUUUGAUACCUUAAUAUAGUUUUAUAAAAAUAAAUACAAACAGAACACUCUUACUUUCCAGACCCAUUCUAUGGUCAUCUAUCCAUCCAUUCAAAACUUAUUUGUUGAGCACAUAGUAUACGCCAGGCUUAGUAGUAGGUGCAGAAACUAUUUUUUGUUUAACUUCCCAGUACUGAGCAUUUCCUGGUGUCCCAUAAACGUUUGCAGUAUGAGUAUGAACAGAAAACUAAAAUACACUUCAAAUUAAAGACAUCUUCUUUCAGUAGGCUGAUAUGUUAUUACAACUGUGAUGUUUCGGAUAACUACUAAAAUUUUUAACAAUUUUAUUGAGAUAUAAGCAAUGAUCCUUAGUAUAUUCACAGAGUUGUGUAAUCAUCACAAUAUCAUUUUAGAACAUUUUAAUCACCCCCAAAAGAAACCCUGUACCCAUUAGCAGUCAAUCCUCAUUCCCCUCCCUUGUCCCCUAGCUUAAAUCAACCACUAACUUAUUUUCUGUCCCUAUCUAUUGGUGUCUUCUGGAUAUUUCAUAUAAAGGAAGCUUAUAAUUUGUGGUCUUUGUGUCUGACUUCUUUCACUUAGCACAAUAUUUUCAAGGUUCAUCCAUACUGUAGCAUGUACUAGCCCU